UUUUUAGACGGAAAGUAAAUCUUUGCAAAAUGCUGUAGAAAUGGAUAAAUACACAUAAUGGGGACAUUUCCCCAUUCCAUGUUUAUUGUUUAUUUCUUCGACAUAGAAAAUGACCAAUUACACAGCCUGUUUUAAAGAUUAUUUUCAUGUGGGGAAAUUUCCCCAAUAUUGUUUAGUGUUCACGUAUGUGUUGUCUUCCUGUAUGGAUGUUUUCCCACUACUUGUAAUUUAAUGGGGAAAUUUCCCCAUUUCGUAUUCUUUUAUCACC
rnacentral:lncRNA from 1 species